rnacentral:rRNA from 1 species
CACGUAGGGCGCAAGCGUUGUCCGGAAUUAUUGGGCGUAAAGAGCUCGUAGGCGGUCUGUUACGUCUGCUGUGAAAACCCAGGGCUUAACCCUGGGCUUGCAGUGGAUACGGGCAGACUAGAGGCAGGUAGGGGAGAAUGGAAUUCCCGGUGUAGCGGUGAAAUGCGCAGAUAUCGGGAGGAACACCGGUGGCGAAGGCGGUUCUCUGGGCCUGACCUGACGCUGAGGAGCGAAAGCGUGGGGAGCGAACAGGAUUGAGAUACCCC